rnacentral:rRNA from 1 species
AGUAACGGCGAGUGAACAGGGAAAAGCCCAAAUUUGUAAUCUGGCACUUUUUACAAGUGUCCGAGUUGUAAUUUGUAGAGCUGUUAUCCGUACUGGACCAUGUACAAGUCUGUUGAAAAGCAGCAUCAUUGAAGGUGAAAAUCCUGUAGAUGAUAUGGACUACCAGUAUAUUUGUGAUACGGUUUCUAAGAGUCGAGUUGUUUGGGAAUGCAGCUCAAAGUGGGUGGUAAAUUCCAUCUAAGGCUAAAUAUAAGUGAGAGACCGAUAGCAAACAAGUACCGUGAGGGAAAGAUGAAAAGAACUUUGAAAAUAGAGUUAACAGUACGUGAAAUUGCUGAAAGGGAAACGUUUGAAGUUAGUUUUGUAUUCGUUGGAUCAGCUUCGCAAGGAGUGUAUUCUGAUGAUAAGCAAGUCAACAUCAGUCUAUGAGUGUUGGAUAAGGGUUUUGAGAAUGUAGCAAUUUAAUUGUGUUAUAGCUUGAGACUUGGAUACGAUGCUUUGGAUUGAGGAACGCGUAGUAAGCUUUGAGCGGAUUCGAAAGGAUCUCCUUACUAUGGAUGUUGGUGAAAUAACU